rnacentral:lncRNA from 1 species
CCGCUCGAGGCCUAGUUCUCUGUGUGCUACCGUGAUAGAACCAAGCCCAGCUCUUGACAUCGGGAGAAAGGACUGGUCAGUGAGGGUCUGGGAAAAAAAUAGAAGAACAAAAAUCUUUAGGAAAGGGGUCCCUGGAAGUAGAAUAGGCCGAGCAGGCCGCGUCAUCUGGGGAGCUGUAGUCCAGAACAGUUUGUCCCCGGCGCAGGCGCACGUUCCCCGAGGAUGCGCGCGCAGCCUCGACGCCAUGAUUUGUUCUUAAGCUUCGAACUCAGCUCUUUUUCAUAGGUCAGUCCAGGCUCCGGACCCGGUUCCAGGUAUCAAGCCUGAAGCACCAGAGAGAGGGUCCUGGACUGAGGAGACAGAAAUCUCAGCCCCAGAGUGAAGGUCCCAGAUAAAAGUGAUCUUGCAUCUAGUCCCCAGGUGCUGGGGAACAGGGACUCAUCCCAGGAGGAGACACACCUGGCGUGAAACCUUUAGUCAGAGUUUCAGGAAUGAGCAAGUCCUAGAAGAUUCAUGUUGGAUCAGUUCCUGUUACCUUGCCUGGGAAAACAGGACUGGGGUGACAUCAGACUAUCCAGAAACCAGUGAGCACUGUUUAACCUUAGAGAAUCUGACCCAAAUGCUUCAGGAAAGAGCUCAACUUUCUCAGAAAUCAGCAUUUCCCCUAACUGUUUCACUGAUCAGAAAGUAAUGUACCCUGGCCUAGUAACAAUGAGAUCCCAGGUGAGUAGGAGUUUCUUCUUAGUCUCCAGAAAUGCCAUCUUAUGGCAGGAAUGUUUUCUGUUAUCCUGGAAGUAUUGUUUAGGUACCUAAGGCCCAGCUGUUUUGCCCCCAGGAGACAGAGAGUGUUCUUAACUUAAUAACACCAUUUCAC